rnacentral:misc_RNA from 1 species
AGAAAACACGUCAAUUUCUACUUUCUAAUUGUGUUGUACAUCGGUAUAUAAGAAUGAAGGUAACUGCAGAAAGCCUAUUGGCCCAUAUGUACAUGUAUUAGCGUCCUCAUCCUUCCUAUAAGUACUAUUAAAACAGGUGAAUGGGCUGCAAUAUCUUAUUAAUGCCAUUACCUGUCAACUUGAUAUUACACAAGUUACUAUGGUGUACCGAGUUUAAAUUGAAAUGGGGCAGUGUAGUUCUCUAGCGACUUCUUGGAUCAAAUCUUGUGCAUAUCUUCCCAAAAACAUAGCCUAAGGGCCAGUUUUCUGCAUUAAUCUUUCAAAAUGGUAUUCAUAGAAUUGCUUCAGAAGUGGUACUAUGGCAGCAUUAGAUCUUGGAACAUGUAAAUCGGGAUUUGGAUUUGGAGGCACUGGAAAAAAGUCUAAUUGCAAGCAGUUUGACGAUUAUGGUGAAUCUUUUGGCCUCAGGGAUGUCAUUGGUUGCUAUCUCAACCUGGAUGCCAUGGAGAUGCAUUACAGCAAAAAUGGCACCGAUUUAGGUAAAGCUUUCGCAUUACGAAGUGAAUUCAAGAAUGCUGUCUUCCAUCCAGCUGUAGUUUUGAAGAAUGCAGAGAUGUCUUUCAAUUUUGGUGCAACAGAGUUCAAGCACCCACCUAAAGCGGGAUACGUAGCAGAGUCUCAGGCCAGCAAGGACUGUACUGUGAUCUCAGGUGUGAAGGGAGGUGGAGACAAGCCACAAAAGCUUCAGAACAAUGCUCCACACGCUGUCAUUAUUGAGCCUUCAAGAGAACUCGCAGAACAGACCCUAAAACAGGUUCAAAUGUUUCGUAAGCAUCUAGAUAAUCCAGUGGUUCGUGACCUUGUUGUUGGUGGUAUACCCUUGAAGGAGCAAAUAGCAGCACUCAAUGCAGGUGUGGAUAUUGUUUGUGGUACUCCAGGACGCUUGGAAGAUCUUAUUAAUACAGGACAACUCUCUCUCCAGUCUUGCAAAUUCUUUGUGUUGGAUGAGGCUGAUGGACUUCUUAAACAGGGGCAUGAGCGUCUCAUCAAUAACAUCUACAACUCCAUACCCAAAAUCACAUCUGAAGGCAAGAGACUCCAGAUGGUGGUCUGUUCUGCCACCCUACAUUCCUUUGAAGUGAAGCGCAUGGCAGAACGUUUGAUGCACUUCCCGACCUGGGUAGAUCUUAAAGGGGAAGAUGCUGUGCCCGAGACUGUCCACCAUGUUGUCGUAACCAUUGAUCCCAGAACGGAUAGUAGCUGGAGCAAUCUUCGUCGCCAUCUGCAAACUGGUGGCGUGCAUGUUAAGGAUGGCGUGCAUGUUAAGGAUGGCGUGCAUGUUAAGGAUGUUAAGUACUGUAAGUAGACAUUAAGUGAGGCGGUGAAGCUGCUGAAAGGAGAGUACUGCAUUAAGGCUAUUGACACACACAAAAUGGAUCAAGCACUAAUAUUCUGCCGCACUAAGUUGGAUUGUGACAAUUUAGAGCGCUAUUUUAAUCAAAUUGAUUCAAAGGUGGUCUGGACACCCAAUUUGGUCAGACAGGUGAAGAGAGCAUUUAGGAUAG